CGAGGAGGGAACGUAACCGGACGAAGUCGGACUAAUACCGCAGUAAAACAGGGGCACCGCAUGGUGAUAUUUGUUAAAGAAUUCGCUGAUAGAUGGGCAUGCGUUCCAUUAGGUAGUUGGUGAGGUAACGGCUCACCAAGCCGACGAUGGAUAGGGGAACUGAGAGGUUGGUCCCCCCACACUGGUACUGAGACACGGACCAGACUCCUACGGGAGGCAGCAGUGAGGAAUAUUGGUCAAUGGGCGGGAGCCUGAACCAGCCAAGUCGCGUAGAAGGAAGAAGGAUCUAUGGUUCGUAAACUUCUUUUGCAGGGGAAUAAAGUGCAGGACGUGUCCUGUUUUGUAUGUACCCUGAGAAUAAGGAUCGGCUAACUCCGUGCCAGCCGCGGC
rnacentral:rRNA from 1 species